rnacentral:snRNA from 1 species
ACGGACCAAGGAGUCUGACAUG